UGGCACCCAAUGUGGGGCCUCCAGAAAGACAGACCCUGUGUGAGACAUUAAUGGAAGAAGGGUCAACAGAAAAUUCAAAAGUGAAACAAAGGUGAUUGCCAUGGGCACCUGCUAUGUUGAGACAGGUGAAUCAUAGUAAUGAAAAUGGGGCAAGAAAUAAGUCAGCAUGAACUAUAUGUGGAACAAAUGAGGAAGGCUUUAAAGACUCGGGGAGUAGAGGUAAAAAUUCAGCAUUUGUUGUCGUUUUUUUGUUUGUUUGUUUGUUUGU
rfam:Mus musculus chromosome 15, GRC primary reference assembly.